rnacentral:lncRNA from 1 species
AAUUUACUGUGCAGCGGUUGCUCUUUGAUCUCUGAUCUUUAAGAUCGAGGAUAAUAUCUCCUGAUCUCAAAAUGGUGUGUUCAGGAUGAACCCAACAAAGAGCUGGAGUGACUCAGGUCCUGCAGCAUUCCAUUUGCAAACAGCAAAGCAUCAGUGCAUCGAACAGAAACCUCACAAUCCCCUUUGGACAACUAAUGCUCCCUCAACCUGUCUUCAUAGGAGAAGUGCUCCAGCCCUUUGAUCAUCUUCAUGGCCCUCUUCUGGACAGCACUCAAUAGAUGUUAAACAC